rnacentral:rRNA from 1 species
AGUGGGGAAUAUUGCACAAUGGGCGCAAGCCUGAUGCAGCCAUGCCGCGUGUAUGAAGAAGGCCUUCGGGUUGUAAAGUACUUUCAGUCGUGAGGAAGGUGUUAAGGUUAAUAACCUUAGCAAUUGACGUUAGCGACAGAAGAAGCACCGGCUAACUCCGUGCCAGCAGCCGCGGUAAUACGGAGGGUGCGAGCGUUAAUCGGAAUUACUGGGCGUAAAGGGCACGCAGGCGGUUAAUUAAGUUGGAUGUGAAAUCCCCGGGCUUAACCUGGGAAUGGCAUUCAAGACUGGUUAGCUAGAGUCUUGUAGAGGGGGGUAGAAUUCCAUGUGUAGCGGUGAAAUGCGUAGAGAUGUGGAGGAAUACCGGUGGCGAAGGCGGCCCCCUGGACAAAGACUGACGCUCAUGUGCGAAAGCGUGGGGAGCAAA